GGAGCUCGUUCAUAAGGUGCCUGGUAU
rnacentral:piRNA from 1 species